UGGCUCAGUUGGUAGAGCAUGGCGCUCGCAAUGCCAGGAUUGUGGGUUCGAUUCCCAC
rnacentral:tRNA from 1 species